rnacentral:lncRNA from 1 species
AAUGGAACUGUUGACAUUCAGGGAUGUAGCCAUAGAAUUCUCUCCAGAGGGGUGGCAAUGCCUGGGCACUGCACAGCAGAAUUUGUAUUAGCAUCCGAUGUUAGAGAACUACAGAAACCUGGUCUCUCUGGCUUUGUGUUCUCAUUUCACCCAAGAUUAUUGACCAGAGCAGGGCAUAAAAGAUUCAUUCCAAAAAGUAGUACUAAGUAGAUAUGGAAAAUACAGACAUAAGAAUUUACAAUUAAUGAAAGGCUGUAAGGGUGUGGAUGAGGGUAAGAUGCAGAAAGGAGGUUAUAAUGAACUUAGCCAAUGAUUUUCAACUACAUAGAACAAAAUA